rnacentral:rRNA from 1 species
CGGUGUUUAACUGGCGUGAUGUGGGACGUCCUACCGGUGGGCUUAGCCUCGCGAGGGGCGGCCCAACUAAUAUCCCGUCGCGGUGCUCUUUACUGAGUGUCGAGUCGGGCCGGUACGUUUACUUUGACAAUAGAGUGCUUAAAGCAGGCUAUCCUCGCCUGAAUACUGCGUGCAUGGAAUAAUGGAAUAGGACUCGGUCUAUUUGUUGGUUUUCGGAACCCCGAGGUAAUGAUUAAUAGGGACAGAUGGGGGCAUUCGUAUUGCGACGUUAGAGGUGAAAUUCUUGGAUCGUCGCAAGACGGACAGAAGCGAAAGCAUUUGCCAAAAAUGUUUUCAUUAAUCAAGAACGAAAGUUAGAGGUUCGAAGGCGAUCAGAUACCGCCCUAGUUCUAACCAUAAACGAUGCCAGCUAGCGAUCCGCCGAAGUUCCUCCGAUGACUCGGCGGGCAGCUUCCGGGAAACCAAAGCUUUUGGGUUCCGGGGGAAGUAUGGUUGCAAAGCUGAAACUUAAAGGAAUUGACGGAAGGGCACCACCAGGAGUGGAGCCUGCGGCUUAAUUUGACUCAACACGGGGAAACUCACCAGGUCCAGACAUAACUAGGAUUGACAGAUUGAUAGCUCUUUCAUGAUUUUAUGGGUGGUGGUGCAUGGCCGUUCUUAGUUGGUGGAGUGAUUUGUCUGGUUAAUUCCGAUAACGAACGAGACCUUAACCUGCUAAAUAGCCAGGCCGGCUUCGGCUGGUCUCUGGCUUCUUAGAGGGACUGUCAG